AAGGGUAUAGCUCAAGUGGUAGAGCACAUGCUUAGCAUGCAUGAGGUCCUGGGUUCAAUCCCCAGUACCUUCU
rnacentral:tRNA from 1 species